rnacentral:misc_RNA from 1 species
AACUGAUACUACCUGCGGGAACCUGCGGAGGGAUCAUUACCGAGUUUACAACUCCCAAACCCAGUGUGAACGUUACCAAACUGUUGCCUCGGCGGGAUCUCUGCCCCGGGUGCGUCGCAGCCCCGGACCAAGGCGCCCGCCGGAGGACCAACCAAAACUCUUUUGUAUACCCCCUCGCGGGUUUUUUAUAUCUGAGCCAUCUCGGCGCCUCUCGUAGGCGUUUCGAAAAUGAAUCAAAAC